rnacentral:sRNA from 1 species
CUUGGUCAUUUAGAGGAAGUAAAAGUCGUAACAAGGUUUCCGUAGGUGAACCUGCGGAAGGAUCAUUACAAGUGAGGCUACCGAACGUUGGAAACAGCGGUUAGGAGCUUACACCCACCCGUGUUUACAUACUAUUGUUGCUUUGGCGGGCCGUGGCCUCCACUGCGGGCUCUGCUCGUGUGUGCCCGCCAGAGAACCAAACUCUGAAUGUUAGUGAUGUCUGAGUACUAUCUAAUAGUUAAAACUUUCAACAACGGAUCUCUUGGUUCUGGCAUCGAUGAAGAACGCAGCGAAAUGCGAUAAGUAAUGUGAAUUGCAGAAUUCAGUGAAUCAUCGAAUCUUUGAACGCACAUUGCACCCUCUGGUAUUCCAGGGGGUAUGCCUGUUCGAGCGUCAUUACAACCCUCAAGCACUGCUUGGUAUUGGAUGUCACCGUUGGUGUAUCUCAAAAGUAUUAGCAGUAACAUUCAGCUUCUAGCGUAGUAAAUUUCUAGCUUUGGAGCUAAGUGUCUAAUUGUUAGAACCUCUAAUUUAUCAAAGGUUGACCUCGGAUCAGGUAGGGAUACCCGCUGAACUUAAGCAUAUCAAUAAGCGGAGGA